rnacentral:tRNA from 1 species
GAAAGCCCGUUGAAACUACCAACAUCUCCUGAAUGCAACUCAGACACUUUAAUUAAGCUAGGACUUC